GGCAAGAUGGCCGAGUGGUUAUGGCGUGUGGUAGGUCCCAACCAGUAUUGGAAAAAUUCAACUUCGAACGCAUCCGACUAACAUACCUUCCUCUUCCAGACUCAAGCGCAAGCUUCGCUGCCUCCAGACAGUGUGUUCUCAUGGGCUUAGCCCGCGGGGGUUCGAAUCCCCCUCUUGUCA
rnacentral:tRNA from 1 species